UUGGGCUGGCGCCGUCCGCGCUCCCGAUCCGGUGGUGUCCGUGGCCAGCGGAUGCCCCUGUCCCGAGCCAUGGCUCUCGCCGUCCGAGUCGUGUAUUGUGGAGCCUGAGGUUACAAGUCUAAGUAUCUUCAGCUCAAGAACCAGUUAGAAGAUGAGUUUCCUGGCCGCCUGGACAUCAGCGGUGAGGGGACCCCCCAGGCCACCGGGUUCUUUGAAGUGAUGGUGGCGGGGAAGCUGGUCCACUCUAAGAAGAACGGUGAUGGCUACAUGGACACAGAGAGCAAGUUUCUGAAGUUGGUAGCCAUCAUCAAAGCCGCCCUGGCUCAGGGGUAGUGUGCCCCGAAGGCAGAGGUCAGGGACCUUGGCCCAGCCCCUCCUGGCAGACGCUUCAUGACAGGAAGGACCGAAAUGUCUUCUGGACGGGUGGUCUUUCCCAGAAUCCCCCGCGGCUGCUGGGCCGGAGCCGAGGCCGACGACCCUGGUCUUUGCCCCUUUGUGCGUGUGUGGAGCUGCUUGGAGAAUCUAGCUUUUCCCACCGACCCUGCUGCCUUCCUUCCCUCCCCCGACCCCACUUGCUCCGAUUUCCCCUCAUGCUUCGUCCCAGCCCUCCAGACCCCUCAUUCUAUCCUCCAGAAAUUGGAGGGAGGUCCCACCUCUGGGCUUCUCAAGAGGAGCAAGAGAGGGGUCAUGGGGUGUGAGUGAGUGUGUGUUUCAAAUUUCAGCAAUGUCUGCAGUGGUCCGCGUGCAAUAAAGAGUGGGCAAGUUGGCCAAGUGGA